UAGACGAAAUUCUCCUUGUAC
rnacentral:piRNA from 1 species